GCUGAUGCUAGUGCUAGUGCAGCAGCAACAGCAGCAGAACAGAGAGCACAAAUUCUCAAGAGGAAUUCCGAUGACAUGGGUUGGGCCUAUGGUCAGCUGGUUGAUCCUAACAACCUUCAGAGAGUGAGGUGCAAUUUCUGCAGCCAGAUUUUCACAGGAGGUAUUUACCGGCUGAAGCAACACAUUGCGGCGAACUCAAAUGCGGUGAGGACCUGCCUGUGGUGCCCACAAGAAGCUAAAGAAGCUUUCUUAAGCUUUGAAAAGGCAGCAAAGAAGCAAAAGAAGUAUGAGCACGAGAAGGCUGUGAGAAAUGCUGUUGUUAUUGAUGCAUCAUCCACUCCUCAAGGUCAAGCUCGAGAUGAUGAUGAACUCACUUGUAUUGGUAGCUCACAACCUCAUGUGUUAGGUCCUAUAGAUAAGUGGACACGUACCAUUGACCCCAAGUUAUGCAGAGAAGCAAGACUCAAGCAAAUAAAGAUUAACAAGGCAUCAUGGGAGGAGAGAUCACUUCGAGCACAUGAGUACAUUGCAAGAUGGGUGUAUACACAUGCAAAACCGUUCAAUGCAAUUGACAAUGAUGAGUUUAGGCAGAUGGUUCAUGCCAUUGGUCAAUUUGGUGCAGAUCUAGAUCCACCUAAUCAAUAUGAUCUCCGGGAGACUUUGCUGAAGUCUGAGUAUGCAAGAACCAAGAGUGAACUCAAGGACCGAGAGGUUGAGAAAGGCAAGCAUGGUUGCUCUCUCAUGACUGAUUCUUGGACUGACAUGAAGAGGAGAAGCAUUAUGAAUCUGGUCACACAUUGCUCGGAAGGUGUUAGCUUCAUCAAGUCAAAGGAAACAUCAGACACACCACAUACAAGUGAGAUGAUCUUCAAUCUAGUUGACAAGACAAUUGAAGGAUUAGGUGUUGAACAUGUGGUGCGGGUUGCGACUGAUAAUGCUUCGAACAACAUGGGGGCUAAGGAUCUCUUGAAAAUGAAGAGGCCGAAUAUAUUUUGGAGCUCGUGUGUGACUCACACUAUCAUUUUGAUGCUCCAAGGGAUUGUCAACUUAGCUAAGUUUAAGAAGAUAAUCGAUCUUCGGGGGUUGGCGCUCCGCUCCCCAUACCACCGCCUGAGCCGGAUUAGUCCUUGGGACUCUCCCACGACCGUGGUUGUGUUGUGCCGCAGCCGUUUUUUUCUUGGAUUGUUGAGUUGUGCCCUCAGCAUUAACCUGUGCAUUUUGCUCGUGUGCUACGUGUGUGUCGUAUGGUAUGGACCUUUGUGUUGA
rnacentral:rRNA from 1 species